rnacentral:rRNA from 1 species
ACAUGUCUUAUUGAAAAUAAUUUUAAGUYUGGUYUGCUCCAUGAAUAAUUUAAAUAGCUGCAGAAUUUUAACUGUACAAAGGUAGCAUAAUCAAUAGUUUUUUAAUUAAAAGCUGGUAUGAAUGAUUUGAUAAGGUGAUUAUUGUCUCAAAUUUAAUAAAAUUAGAAUUUUUUUUUUAGUUAAAAAACUAAAGUUAAUUUAAAAGACGAGAAGACCCUAUAGAUUUUUAUAUUUAAAAUUAAUUAAAUUAAAAUUUAUUAAUAAAAUUUAAUUUAGUAAUAUUUGAUUGGGGAAAUUAUUAAAAUAAAAAAAUUUUAAUUAAAAAUAAACAAUAAUUUUUGAAAAAUUGAACUUAAUUAAAAAUUAAGAGAAUAAAUUACCUUAGGGAUAACAGCGUAAUUUUUUUGGAGAGAUCUUAUUAAUAAAAAAGUUUGCGACCUCGAUGUUGAAUUAAGAAAAAAUUUUAAUGAARAAAUUAAAAAUUUUUGGUCUGUUCGACCAUUAAAAUCUUACGUGA